GGGUGAGUAACACGUAGGGAACCUGCCCGCGCACCGGGAAUACGCUCUGGAAACGGAGAACAAAUCCCGAUGUACAGGAAGGAGGCAUCCUCUUUCUGUGAAACAUCCUUUAGGGGAUGGGCGCGGAUGGACCUGCGGUGCAUUAGUUGGUUGGCGGGGUAAAGGCCCACCAAGACGAUGAUGCAUAGCCGGCCUGAGAGGGCGGACGGCCACAUUGGGACUGAGACACGGCCCAGACUCCUGCGGGAGGCAGCAGUAGGGAAUUUUCGUCAAUGGGCGCAAGCCUGAACGAGCGAUGCCGCGUGAGUGAAGAAGGCCUUCGGGUCGUAAAGCUCUGUUGCGGGGGAAAAAAGGCAGCAUCAGGAAAUGGGUGCUGACUGAUGGUGCCCCGCCAGAAAGUCACGGCUAACUACGUGCCAGCAGCCGCGGUAAUACGUAGGUGGCGAGCGUUAUCCGGAAUGAUUGGGCGUAAAGGGUGCGCAGGCGGUCCUGCAAGUCUGGAGUGAAACGCAUGAGCUCAACUCAUGCAUGGCUUUGGAAACUGGAGGACUGGAGAGCAGGAGAGGGCGGUGGAACUCCAUGUGUAGCGGUAAAAUGCGUAGAUAUAUGGAAGAACACCAGUGGCGAAGGCGGCCGCCUGGCCUGUUGCUGACGCUGAGGCACGAAAGCGUGGGGAGCAAAUAGGAUUAGAUACCCUAGUAGUCCACGCCGUAAACGAUGAGGACCAAGUGUUGGG
rnacentral:rRNA from 1 species